rnacentral:lncRNA from 1 species
AUCCGCUAUGAAAGUUCGGUCGAAGUCUGGUUCUUGUAGAAGGCUGAAAGGAGACCGCUUAUUGUAGAAGCUAGGUCGAAGAUCGGUUGUCAUGGGAGCUCGGAGUAGCAACCUGGCUGGUGGAUCCUGUCCCAUUAUAGAAGCUCGUCUAGGAUCCAGCUACGAAGAAGCUCGGCUGAAGUCUACCUGUAAUAGAAGUUCAGAGAAAAU